GGCAGUAACUGUAAUUUUGUUCUGUAGUCACCACAAAGCCUGAAAUGAAGAGGCUUCAGCACCUGUAGUGAUUACAGUGAUUCAGACCAGCAAAUAGCUCCAGCUCUGGAGAUGUGCCUUUCCAAGUAGCCUAGUGCAUACUGCGGAUGCUGCCACCACACACAGGAAAGCAUGGAGAUGGAAAAUGUGUGCUGUGUGAAUCAGGUCACAGGUCUGUUAUGGAGCCUGGAAAGUGAAGGAAUCUACCAGCAGCUGAUGCUCUUCAGCAGGAACCCAAGGAAGAUGGAGUUUUGUUUUGUAACACAGCCUCUGCAAAACAGCUCUGCAGUUACAGCAGGGAUUGGCCACAGAGGUUCUGCAGCUUGGGGUGCUAUGGCAAUACAGCCAUGGUUAUUCACUUUCCAAUAAUUGUUUUCAGUGCUGAAUUAUUUGGCUCAAAACAAACUACUAGAGCCAGAAUUUAGAAUAAAAAGAACUAUUUCUGAG